rnacentral:misc_RNA from 1 species
AACGCACCUUGCACCCUUUGGUAUUCCGGAGGGUAUGCCUGUUUGAGUGUCAUUGAAUCAUCAACCUCUCUAGCUUUUUUGUUAGUAGAGUGCUUGGAUCUGAGGGUCUUGUCGGAGGUAACUCUGACUCCCUUUAAAAAUAUUAGUGGGCUCUCUUGCAAAAUAGGCUUCAAUUUGAUAAUAUCUAUGUUGUCGCCGUGUAUGCAUUAGAUCUGCUUCAAACUGUCUUCGGACAAUCUCUGACCAUUUGACCUCAAAUCAGGUAGGACUACCCGCUGAACUUAA